rnacentral:rRNA from 1 species
CCUACGGGUGGCUGCAGUGGGGAAUAUUGGACAAUGGGGGGAACCCUGAUCCAGCCAUGCCGCGUGUGUGAAGAAGGCCCUCGGGUUGUAAAGCACUUUCAGUGAGGAAGAACGCCUGGUGGUUAAUACCCAUCAGGAAAGACAUCACUCACAGAAGAAGCACCGGCUAACUCCGUGCCAGCAGCCGCGGUAAUACGGAGGGUGCGAGCGUUAAUCGGAAUUACUGGGCGUAAAGCGCGCGUAGGUGGCUUGAUAAGCCGGUUGUGAAAGCCCCGGGCUCAACCUGGGAACGGCAUCCGGAACUGUCAAGCUAGAGUGCAGGAGAGGAAGGUAGAAUUCCCGGUGUAGCGGUGAAAUGCGUAGAGAUCGGGAGGAAUACCAGUGGCGAAGGCGGCCUUCUGGACUGACACUGACACUGAGGUGCGAAAGCGUGGAUAGCAAACAGGAUUAGAUACCCUAGUAGUC